rnacentral:rRNA from 1 species
GACGAACGCUGGCGGCGUGCUUAACACAUGCAAGUCGAACGGAAAGGCCCUGCUUUUGUGGGGUGCUCGAGUGGCGAACGGGUGAGUAACACGUGAGUAACCUGCCCUUGACUAUGGGAUAACUUCAGGAAACUGGGGCUAAUACCGGAUAGGAGCUCCUGCUGCAUGGUGGGGGUUGGAAAGUUUCGGCGGUUGGGGAUGGACUCGCGGCUUAUCAGCUUGUUGGUGGGGUAGUGGCUUACCAAGGCUUUGACGGGUAGCCGGCCUGAGAGGGUGACCGGCCACAUUGGGACUGAGAUACGGCCCAGACUCCUACGGGAGGCAGCAGUGGGGAAUAUUGCACAAUGGGCGGAAGCCUGAUGUAGCAACGCCGCGUGCGGGAUGACGGCCUGCGGGUUGUAAACCGCUUUCGCCUGUGACGAAGCGUGAGUGACGGUAAUGGGUAAAGAAGCACCGGCUAACUACGUG